GCUUUAGACUAAAGAAUUAUCACAUUGCAGUUAGACUUUUUGCACAUGCGCAGUCACCGUAAAAGCCUCGAAUUAACGCCGCCAUGACGACAUUACAUUGGGACAUUGACCCCUAGCCUCUCAUCAACAACUCUCCUCUUUGAUAGAUCAAACACAAUAUUUAUGGAAUAUAGUUGUGACAAAAAAUCAACAGGUGAACUGGUGAUUGGAUUGUUAGUGGUUCUGGAGAGCAUCCACCGCAUCUACUGCAUGCUGUCUGGUCUCACUCUCCCACUGUCUUAUCUCCGUAUCAGACAGGGGACCUCCACUGCAUACACAAACAGAAAUUGUCACGAUGACAAAAAGGAUGAUCAGGAACAAUGCUCCACCAAUUGCUAUGCCAAUUAUUGUAGUCUGAUCAAGAAGACUGGUUAGUCCAUUAUCUGUAGGUGAAGGAACAAUUUGAGGUGCGUGUUUCCGACCCACUGAACUCAAAACCAUCGUCACACGUCACAUUCGCCACUGAACCAGGCUGGGUACUGUUGGUGAAUGCAAUAUCUCCAUUAGCAACGGUGGUGAUGUUAGGGCAUUGGAUAACUGCAGGGAGAGAAUUAUUCGAAAAGGAGGCCCAUUGCUCCAUAUUGAGUUAGACUGGCAGACAGUUGUAGAGGAACCUCUGAGAUCGUAACCACUGUUGCAACUGUACAUAGCCUCGGAUUGGAAUGUGUUACUACCGACAGUGACGGCUCCAUUCUCAGGGUCGACUAGGUCUGCGCACUCAAUAACUAGUGCAUGAUAAGGAAUUAAAUAGAGUAUAAGUAUAGUACUUGUCAGUUUAUUUGCUAAGCUUCCUUAUAUAAUGAUACAUACAGCACUUACUUUCACAGGUAGCAGCAGUUCCUGACCAUUGUGAAUUGGCCUCGCAGUUUCUGAUAUUGUUUCCAUUUAGCUCAUAACCUUCAUUACAACUAUACGUUGCCGUGGUGUCUCCAUUGAUUCCAACCUGAAUGUUCACUUCUCCGUUGUCUGGAUUCUCUAACGUAGGGCACUCUAUCACUGCAACAGAGAGGCAAUGUGAUUACACAUUCUAAAUUAAUAGGUUAAGUGAAUUUAAUAUGUUUACUCUACGUAAGGCUCUGCUUUAAUACAUCAUAGUGCAUGGCUAUAGUUACGCGGUAAUGUAAUGUGGAAACUCCUUUUAACAUUGGGGAACAAAGAUUUGGCCAUGCUUUAUCAGAAUGACUUUUGUUGAGGGGUUAUUUGUACAUUUAACUGUUCUGAGUGUUGUCACGCCUAUAUUACAGUUGGGUCCUUUUUCAGGAGUGGCGGUUAAAAGGGCUCGAUCCUCUCCUGUACUGCUUCCUCGAUUAUAGGUAAAUCUUUUACAACUAUAUUAUAGAGUUUUCUCACCCUGACAUCUUGGUGCAAUUUCCGACCAUGUUUCGUUUGCCUGACACAUUCUAACUUGAGGACCGUUCACCAACUCAAAGUUAGGAUUGCAAGAGUAUGUAGCCGUGCCUGGGAACAGAUUAGAGGGCACCUCAACGAUCCCAUUCUCCGGGUUGCUUAGCUCCCCACAACUAACAGCUGCAUAUAUAAAUUGGAUACACACAUUUGUUAGAACACUAUAUAGUGGUAAUCAUACCCAAAACAAAGUUCAGUAGCUUUGAGAGAGAUACUAAUUAUGUGCUUAGAUCAAACUGGUUGAUCAAUCGUUAGACAAUGUUAGGGUGUAUACUUACGUGUGCAAGAGGGUGGUGUGAGUGACCACUCCCUGUUGGCCUGACAGGUCCUCACAGGAGUUCCCGUGAGGUCAUAACCUGCGUCACAUUCGUACUCUGCAGUGUCUCCAAACGAAGUUCCACCGUUGGGGUAUCGCACAAGUCCGUUAGUUGGAUCAGUAAGGAAUAGACAAGUUACUCCUGUAUGUAGCGAGAAAAUGGUAGCCAUAAGACAAAAAUUAAAGGGGAGAGUGUAUGUGAGAUUAAUACAUUCACAGCUAGUGUUUAGGUGUUAAUUUUAGUUUUGUGUAGAUCAACACAACUAAACACAAAAUUGUGGAUUCGUUGGUCAUCAACUUACGGACACACUGAGGAGCCGUUCCAGACCACAUGCUGUUUAACUGACAAGUCCGAGUCACAGUGACGGCACCAGUGUCAAGCUCGUAGCCAGACACACAGCUGUAGAUAGCCAGACCCUCGUAGUUAGUGUUGGAUGUUUGAAUCAUUCCGUUCUGUGGAUCCGUAAGAGUUCCGCAGUCGACAACUGCAUGGAAAGAGGUAUCAGCUCAGUGAGGUAUGUGCUAAACGAUCAAGUUAUUUUGGUAAAUUAAUGUGCUGUGAUUUAUUGUGUACGCAUACAAUUAUUAUACUGAUAGCAAGUGUACUGUGCUUUAAAGGCAAGCCCGACAAACUACAUAAUCAAUUUCCUCACCCUGGCAAGUUGGCGCUUCUCCUCCCCAGCCCGAGUUUAAACAAGUUCUAGUCUCGCCUCCAUUGAGAUUAAAUCCAACAUUGCAAGAGUAGGUAGCAAUGGAAUCUUGCAGUGUAUCUGGGCUUACAGUCACCUGACCAUUAGCGGGAUCAGCAAGAGCUGCACAAUCUCUCACAGCUGCAUUGUCACCAACAAUUUGAGCAGUGAAAGUGAAACUAUCUCCAUCAGCAGCCGUGGCAGGUAUCGUGAAUGGCUCGUUGACCAAUUGAAUAAAGUCAUCAUUUCCAACAGCUGUAAAACAAUUUUGUGACUUUGUAUAGUUGUAUAAAUUUGCUGUUUAAUACAUGCCGUGGAAUCACUUUUUAUAGCGGACACAUAAAUGAUCUACUUGCCUAGCCUAUAAUUAUUUCAUAUGACAAACUCACUUGCUGUUACAUCUACUGUAUUGGCCAACACUGUGAUGGCUCUGUCCAGAGUGAGUCCAUUUAAGGCCACCGUCAGAUCGAUAUUAACAUCAGUCAAUCCACUGUCUCCCUCUGGAAUGGCCACCGAAGAGACUGUAGCUUCGCCAAUGAUGACAUUUACAGCAUCCACACCAGCUGUUAAACUGACCAUAAAUGUCUCAACCUCUUCAAUAAUGUCAUCGCUUCGAAUGGCAAUAUUUGUGCACUGUGGCUCGCUGGCGUCUAUCGG